UCCGACAUGGUGUAGCGGUAACAUCGGUGCCUUUCAACUCCUAAGCCUGGAAUUGAGCGCACUAGCCCGGGGUUCGACUCCCCGUAUCGGAA